CAUUCAAAUAGCAAGUAGUUAGAUUUCGUGUGGAAUUUGGUACACGAUGAUGAUCGACACUAUAACACAUUAGGCUUUUUGCGGCGACUAAUUCUUGCCUCAAUAAGCAUUUAAACUGUGGAUAAAUGUCUGAAUCCACGUUUUCUUCUUCACAGAGCAAAUGCGGUAAAAUCAACGUGACACUAGCACUGAAUAUCACCGCAAGCUCCAUCGCCGAAUACAUAACUCCGUUUACUGCCGAUUUACCUACUGAGAAGAGAGCCGCGCUAACUGCCGCAGAUGAUGUCAUCAGAUCAAUCUCACCGCCGCAGAAUAAAGAGAUCAACCCGAGUUGAUGUUCAUCGCGGCUUUGGGCAAAAUCAUCCCGGCGAGUUCUUAGCCGCAGAGGUGAAUUUCCAUGGUACAUCAUCCACCGGUUUCAACGAUGAAAUACAUGGAGGCAACCUAGCUGAGCAUGGGUCAUCUGGAGGUUGAGUGGAGUCAUCAGAGUGAACCUCAACUUCAUCUCUCAAACUCCAAGCUGCUGGUACUUGACAAGGUGGACGAAGUGUGGCAGGCAACACUCGUCCUCGACCUCUACCUUUAAUUGCUUGAUUCAUUUCUCCUACACAUGAAUGAGGAAUAAGAAACAUUUUCAUGCAUCAGCUUGACCUGGUACCCAAUAUCCAAUACCAAGCAGUUUUGUAAGCAAACAUCUCUUAAAGUGGUCACUCCAAGCUUACCAAGUUAUGUGUAUAUGCUGUAGCAAGUUGUUAAUGUGGACGUGCAGAAAUAAACCAAGUCUUGCUAACAAUGGAGGAGCAAAACGUGUGGCUCCCUAAGCAAAAUAUCUCACAAGUUGUUUGUAAUGACCAGAAAUUACCCUGGUCCCUAGAUAUGAGGAGCCAAGGGUUGGUAAAAAAAUUUCUCCCACUUCAAGUUGAUCUGCUUCUCUCGCGUAAGUGAAUGCUAGAUGAAGGCCAAAAGCAUGGGCUAUACUGGUAGACUUGGAUUGCUGUAUAUCUACUGACAUUAGAUGACAGCUAUAGGUUGUAGCCAUCAACUCCUAGUUAAUGUAAUUCUUUUAUUCUAAUUAGAGUUUUGUUGUAGAGACAUAUGAAGCAGUUUCUAGCUAGUUGUGGGGAAGUAGCACACGUGUAAUUAGCCUCCACUUUUAAUAGGUUCUUUUUACCAACUUUUUAGCCAUAUGUACAUUUUGCCAUUCAGGCUUAUUCAAUCAAUCGUAUUCUUCGUUUCAUUUUUA